rnacentral:rRNA from 1 species
AUACGGAGGGUGCAAGCGUUACUCGGAAUCACUGGGCGUAAAGCGCGCGCAGGCGGCUUGAUAAGUUGGAUGUGAAAGCCUACGGCUCAACCGUAGAACUGCAUCCAAAACUGUCAAGCUAGAGUCUGGGAGGGGAAGAUGGAAUUAGUUGUGUAGGGGUAAAAUCCGUAGAGAUAACUAGGAAUACCAAAAGCGAAGGCGAUCUUCUGGAACACUACUGACGCUGAGGCGCGAAGGCGUGGGGAGCAAACAGGAUUAGAUACCCUAGUAGUCC